AGAGUUUGAUCAUGGCUCAGGAUGAACGCCGGCGGUGUGCCUAAUACAUGCAAGUCGUACGCACUGGCCCAACUGAUUGAUGGUGCUUGCACCUGAUUGACGAUGGAUCACCAGUGAGUGGCGGACGGGUGAGUAACACGUAGGUAACCUGCCCCGGAGCGGGGGAUAACAUUUGGAAACAGAUGCUAAUACCGCAUAACAACAAAAGCCGCAUGGCUUUUGUUUGAAAGAUGGCUUUGGCUAUCACUCUGGGAUGGACCUGCGGUGCAUUAGCUAGUUGGUAAGGUAACGGCUUACCAAGGCGAUGAUGCAUAGCCGAGUUGAGAGACUGAUCGGCCACAAUGGAACUGAGACACGGUCCAUACUCCUACGGGAGGCAGCAGUAGGGAAUCUUCCACAAUGGGCGCAAGCCUGAUGGAGCAACACCGCGUGAGUGAAGAAGGGUUUCGGCUCGUAAAGCUCUGUUGUUGGAGAAGAACGUGCGUGAGAGUAACUGUUCACGCAGUGACGGUAUCCAACCAGAAAGUCACGGCUAACUACGUGCCAGCAGCCGCGGUAAUACGUAGGUGGCAAGCGUUAUCCGGAUUUAUUGGGCGUAAAGCGAGCGCAGGCGGUUGCUUAGGUCUGAUGUGAAAGCCUUCGGCUUAACCGAAGAAGUGCAUCGGAAACCGGGCGACUUGAGUGCAGAAGAGGACAGUGGAACUCCAUGUGUAGCGGUGGAAUGCGUAGAUAUAUGGAAGAACACCAGUGGCGAAGGCGGCUGUCUGGUCUGCAACUGACGCUGAGGCUCGAAAGCAUGGGUAGCGAACAGGAUUAGAUACCCUGGUAGUCCAUGCCGUAAACGAUGAGUGCUAGGUGUUGGAGGGUUUCCGCCCUUCAGUGCCGGAGCUAACGCAUUAAGCACUCCGCCUGGGGAGUACGACCGCAAGGUUGAAACUCAAAGGAAUUGACGGGGGCCCGCACAAGCGGUGGAGCAUGUGGUUUAAUUCGAAGCUACGCGAAGAACCUUACCAGGUCUUGACAUCUUGCGCUAACCUUAGAGAUAAGGCGUUCCCUUCGGGGACGCAAUGACAGGUGGUGCAUGGUCGUCGUCAGCUCGUGUCGUGAGAUGUUGGGUUAAGUCCCGCAACGAGCGCAACCCUUGUUACUAGUUGCCAGCAUUGAGUUGGGCACUCUAGUGAGACUGCCGGUGACAAACCGGAGGAAGGUGGGGACGACGUCAGAUCAUCAUGCCCCUUAUGACCUGGGCUACACACGUGCUACAAUGGACGGUACAACGAGUCGCAAGCUCGCGAGAGUAAGCUAAUCUCUUAAAGCCGUUCUCAGUUCGGACUGUAGGCUGCAACUCGCCUACACGAAGUCGGAAUCGCUAGUAAUCGCGGAUCAGCAUGCCGCGGUGAAUACGUUCCCGGGCCUUGUACACACCGCCCGUCACACCAUGGGAGUUUGUAACGCCCAAAGUCGGUGGCCUAACCUUUAUGGAGGGAGCCGCCUAAGGCGGGACAGAUGACUGGGGUGA
rnacentral:rRNA from 2 species